UACGAAGGGGGCUAGCGUUGCUCGGAAUCACUGGGCGUAAAGCGCACGUAGGCGGCUUUUUAAGUCAGGGGUGAAAUCCUGGAGCUCAACUCCAGAACUGCCUUUGAUACUGAGAAGCUUGAGUCCGGGAGAGGUGAGUGGAACUGCGAGUGUAGAGGUGAAAUGCGUAGAUAUCGUAAGGAAGACCAGUGGCGAAGGCGGGUCUCUGGACAGUUCCUGACGCUGAGGGCACGAAGUCAGGGGAGCAAACGGG
rnacentral:rRNA from 1 species